GUUUAUAUAAUUUAUAGAGAAUAUUACAUUGAAGCUGUAAAUGAGGUUUAAAUAAUCUGUGAACA
rnacentral:tRNA from 1 species